AUUGAACGCUGGCGGCAGGCCUAACACAUGCAAGUCGAACGAGUGGCGGACGGGUGAGUAAUGUCUGGGAAACUGCCUGAUGGAGGGGGAUAACUACUGGAAACGGUAGCUAAUACCGCAUACCAUCGGAUGUGCCCAGAUGGGAUUAGCUAGUAGGUGGGGUAACGGCCCACCUAGGCGACGAUCCCUACCUGGGCUGAGAGGAUGACCGGCCACACGGGAGCUGGGACACGGUCCAGACGCCUACGGGAGGCAGCAGGGGGGAAUAGUGGACAGUGGGCGCAAGCCUGAUGCAGCCAUGCCGCGUGUAUGAAGAAGGCCUUCGGGGUGUAAAGUACUUUCAGCGGGGAUGCGUUACCCGCAGAAGAAGCACCGGCUAACUCCGUGCCAGCAGCCGCGGUAAUUC
rnacentral:rRNA from 1 species